rnacentral:rRNA from 1 species
GAUGAACGCUGGCGGCGUGCCUAAUACAUGCAAGUCGAGCGAACAGACGAGGAGCUUGCUCCUCUGACGUUAGCGGCGGACGGGUGAGUAACACGUGGAUAACCUACCUAUAAGACUGGGAUAACUUUGGGAAACCGGAGCUAAUACCGGAUAAUAUAUUGAACCGCUUGGUUCAAUAGUGAAAGACGGUUUUGCUGUCACUUAUAGAUGGAUCCGCGCCGCAUUAGCUAGUUGGUAAGGUAACGGCUUACCAAGGCGACGAUGCGUAGCCGACCUGAGAGGGUGAUCGGCCACACUGGAACUGAGACACGGUCCAGACUCCUACGGGAGGCAGCAGUAGGGAAUCUUCCGCAAUGGGCGAAAGCCUGACGGAGCAACGCCGCGUGAGUGAUGAAGGUCUACGGAUCGUAAAACUCUGUUAUUAGGGAAGAACAAAUGUGUAAGUAACUAUGCACGUCUUGACGGUACCUAAUCAGAAAGCCACGGCUAACUACGUG